rnacentral:lncRNA from 1 species
UGAAUGAUUUGACUACUUAGGAGUGUGGUUAUCACAUUUUGUAUGUAAUUAUCCUCCUCAAUCAAAAAGUUCAUCAGCUCACAUAACGUAUCCAUCUGAAAAAAAUACAAUAAUUUAUGAUUACAACUAUGCGAUCAACUCAAUGACAUAGACAGGCAAAAAUAUAAACACAGGACAUGUAACCUUCGUAAGACUAUCAGUAUCAUUAUCAUUACUUCAUAAUAUAAAUUGUUUCAUCUAAAAUGUAUAUAGGCACAUACCAUUACAUAACAAAGGUGUAAACACUAUAAAGCAUGGAGUAUAAGUAUGAAGUCCAAUUCUCAAUAUAAAGCACAGAGUAUAAGUACAUCAACAUGGAGUCCUUAAACAUAACAAAUCAAGAUCAGCCAUGGUUGUAAAAGUCAUCAGGCUGAGAAGGAGGUGCAGUUGAACUUGGAAUGAAGGUCUGCGGACCACCUUGCAAGGAGGUGCUUGCAAAAGCAUGAAAAGGCUGAGUACUAUCUUGAGAAGGGGUACCAUAAGUCCUUGUCCUGAGAGACUAUUCUAUGAAAGAAUUAUGACCACCUUGAUUCACACCACGCAUGGGAGGAGGCAUAAAAACAUUAAGGAUACUUCCGAAAAAUGCAUAUGAUCUGGAAGGGGCUGCUAUAGGUGGUGGAAUGUGGUAGAAUUCAGCUAUUUGUCUCUGAAGCCAAACUUUCAAUAGUGGCCGCUCAUAAUGCAUGAAGAACCAUUGAUUAGACUCAUGUUUAAAUGCCUCUCCUGCAACAAGGUGCAUUCAGGGGUAACACCGAGAAGCUUUUCUAGCUUGGACAUGCACUUAUCAAUAGAAUACAGUAUAGGCCUAGCAAGCUCAUCUCUCCUAAGGAUCUCAUUGAUAAUUUUUUAUCUCCAUCUCCCUUGAUCCAUUAGAUCUAGGAGAGCAUUAGUAUUUACUCUAGUCCUACGUGCCGUAGGAGUCAUUGAGCUUGACCUAGACUUCUUUCCGAUGGAAGAGGACGGACAUGUUUUCGAAAAACUAUCAGUGGGUAGUAUCGAAGUACAGGUAGUCGUAGUCAAGCUGUUGAUGAAGUGAAUUUCAGUGCAGG